CCUACGGGGCGCAGCAGUGAGGAAUAUUGGUCAAUGGGCGAGAGCCUGAACCAGCCAAGUCGCGUGAAGGAUGACGGCCCUACGGGUUGUAAACUUCUUUUGUCAGGGAGCAAUUGAGUCCACGUGUGGGCUUAGCGAGGGUACCUGAAGAAAAAGCAUCGGCUAACUACGUGCCAGCAGCCGCGGUAAUACGUAGGUGGCAAGCGUUAUCCGGAUUUACUGGGUGUAAAGGGCGUGUAGGCGGGGGUGCAAGUCAGAUGUGAAAACUAUGGGCUCAACCCAUAGCCUGCAUUUGAAACUGUACU
rnacentral:rRNA from 1 species